CCUGACCCAGAACUCCUCCAGAGCGUUUUUAACAGGAAACUAAAGACAAAACAUGGAGGCCACCUGCCUGCCCUGCUAAUGGUGACCCUCAGGAUAACCCACCAGUAUGAAUCAGAGCUGUGAUGACAGAUGCUUGUGGGUCCAUGAAGACAAGUUUGAAGUCGUUCGUCUUUGAGCUCUGUACAGUGUCUGUGCUCUUUGGAAAAGAUGUCUCAUUUUGCAGUUAUUAUGCAUCUGGACCUUGAGGAGUCUUCUUCAGAUGGUUUUCCAUCCUCCAUGUGAUGCGGGAGACCCAGGUGAGAGGCACUGUCACCACAGGAAGACAGAAUUUGGAUGGGAAGCUUUCCACCCAAGCAUUCAUGCACCAGGACUCCGGAGGAUGUUCUUUAGAGCUGCAUUUCCAGGGUAUUUGAAUAGACUCUUAGAAUAACCACCACUGAAGCUGUACUCAGGAGGCCAGAUUGAGGAAGAAAAGCUCAGCUUAGCCCCAGCUCUAACCUCCAAGCUCUGCCUUAUCAAGGAGUCCAACACCUCUAAAACAGAAAAGCAAAACCCCAGCCUGAGAAGAACCCCACCACCACCCUGCCACUUCCAUCCUCAUCUACCCCAGCUUUCCAUCUGUUAAAAAUAAACAAAGGAAUGUCAUUUAAUAUGGAGCUGGGAAGCCCUGGAGGGGAAGCUCUCAGGCACUGCCGCCCAGACGGGGAACAGGAGGACAUACCACAACAGAAGGAAGGAAGAAUUUCUCCUUGCCCGGCGAAACACCUUCACUGUGGUCAGUCCUUGCCUGAACCUCUCUAGCUGGUUGACCUCAGGAUUGGGCUCCUGGUUACUGUCCAGCCAAUGAGAAAUGGCCACGCUCAGCCAGCGAGAAGCCAUUACCACCCUGAAUUCUUCGAACACCCCUUUCAACUUCCUCUUUUUCCCUAUAAGAGCAAGCCCCUCUUUUCUGUUCUUCAGACUGGCCUAUGGUUCACCAUAGCUCGCUUGUCCUGAAUUGCAAUUCCUCUGCUAUUUCCGAAUAAACCCA